rfam:Schistosoma curassoni strain Dakar, Senegal genome assembly, scaffold: SCTD_scaffold0004256
GCACUGCUGAUGAGUCCCAUAAUAGGACGAAACGGCCGUCCAGUGC